UACGAAGGGGGCUAGCGUUGCUCGGAAUUACUGGGCGUAAAGGGCGCGUAGGCGGACAGUUUAGUCGGGGGUGAAAGCCCGGGGCUCAACCUCGGAAUUGCCUUCGAUACUGGCUGUCUUGAGUACGGGAGAGGUGUGUGGAACUCCGAGUGUAGAGGUGAAAUUCGUAGAUAUCUGGAGGAACACCGGUGGCGAAGGCGGCAUCCUGGACCGGUAUUGACGCUGAGGCGCGAAAGCUAGGGGAGCAAACGGG
rnacentral:rRNA from 1 species